rnacentral:rRNA from 1 species
UUUAUGACGCUGGCGGCAGGUCUUAACACAUGCAAGUCGAGCGGUAACAGGGGGUGCUUGCACCCCGCUGACGAGCGGCGGACGGGUGAGUAAUGCAUAGGAAACUGCCCAGUAGUGGGGGAUAGCCCGGGGAAACCCGGAUUAAUACCGCGUACGCCCUUCGGGGGAAAGCAGGGGAUCUUCGGACCUUGCGCUAUUGGAUGUGCCUAUGUCGGAUUAGCUAGUUGGUGGGGUAAAGGCCUACCAAGGCGACGAUCCGUAGCUGGUCUGAGAGGAUGAUCAGCCACAUCGGGACUGAGACACGGCCCGAACUCCUACGGGAGGCAGCAGUGGGGAAUAUUGGACAAUGGGGGCAACCCUGAUCCAGCCAUGCCGCGUGUGUGAAGAAGGCUUUCGGGUUGUAAAGCACUUUCAGUGAGGAGGAAAACUCUGCGACUAAUACUCGUAGGGCUUGACGUUACUCACAGAAGAAGCACCGGCUAACUCCGUGCCAGCAGCCGCGGUAAUACGGAGGGUGCAAGCGUUAAUCGGAAUUACUGGGCGUAAAGCGCGCGUAGGUGGUUUGAUAAGCGAGAUGUGAAAGCCCCGGGCUUAACCUGGGAACGGCAUUUCGAACUGUCAGGCUAGAGUAUGGUAGAGGGUAGUGGAAUUUCCUGUGUAGCGGUGAAAUGCGUAGAUAUAGGAAGGAACACCAGUGGCGAAGGCGGCUACCUGGACCAAUACUGACACUGAGGUGCGAAGCGUGGGGAGCAAAAGGAUAAAUACCCUGGUAGUCC